GGGUUAUUGUGGGUCACUCCAACUAGGCUGCAGCUCGCACUGGUUUAUGUGAGGGCUGAGUGUGUGGUAGGCAGAAACAGGCUGGACUACAACCCCCAUUGGUUCCAGUGGAAAUUGUUUGC